rnacentral:sRNA from 1 species
AAGAACCCAGGCUCUGUCACCCACUGUGUUCUUGGUUUUUCCUCCUGGGGAAGCAGUUAUACUUUCUGUCUAAAUUAGGCUAUUUUGGGCCCUGGUUAGGGUAAGCUCUUUGCUGUCUCAGACAGCAGGUGCUAAGUACCCACCUAUGUCUUCCUCUUCCACUGCCCUCAUCCCCUUCUGCCAUCAGAGCAGCCUGGGGUCCCUGAGAUGGGAGGAUAGGGGAAUCCACCCUGAUGGAGGUGCUCCCCUGUGUUUCAGGAGGGCGCUAUGACCCCUCGCUGACUUUCUCUGAGAACGUGGACCUCACAGAGCCCAUCAUCUCACGCUUUGACAUCCUGUGUGUGGUGAGGGACACCGUGGACCCAGUCCAGGACGAGAUGCUGGCCCGCUUCGUGGUGGGCAGCCACGUCAGACACCACCCCAGCAACAAGGAGGAGGAGGGGCUGGCCAAUGGCAGCGCUGCUGAGCCCGCCAUGCCCAACACGUAUGGUGUGGAGCCCCUGCCCCAGGAGGUCCUGAAGAAGUACAUCAUCUACGCCAAGGAGAGGGUCCACCCGAAGCUCAACCAAAUGGACCAGGACAAGGUGGCCAAGAUGUACAGUGACCUGAGGAAAGAAUCUAUGGCGACAGGCAGCAUCCCCAUUACGGUGCGGCACAUCGAGUCCAUGAUCCGCAUGGCGGAGGCCCACGCGCGCAUCCAUCUGCGGGACUAUGUGAUCGAAGACGACGUCAACAUGGCCAUCCGCGUGAUGCUGGAGAGCUUCAUAGACACACAGAAGUUCAGCGUCAUGCGCAGCAUGCGCAAGACUUUUGCCCGCUACCUUUCAUUCCGGCGUGACAACAAUGAGCUGUUGCUCUUCAUACUGAAGCAGUUAGUGGCAGAGCAGGUGACAUAUCAGCGCAACCGCUUUGGGGCCCAGCAGGACACUAUUGAGGUCCCUGAGAAGGACUUGGUGGAUAAGGCUCGUCAGAUCAACAUCCACAACCUCUCUGCAUUUUAUGACAGUGAGCUCUUCAGGAUGAACAAGUUCAGCCACGACCUGAAAAGGAAAAUGAUCCUGCAGCAGUUCUGAGGC